CGGCCACCGAGUCCCCUUCCUGCAGCCCCACGCCGUCCCGCAGGACCCGAGCCACCUGGCUGCUGCGCCGGUCUAUGUCCCGGGACAUUGAGGUCAUGCCGGAGCAACGGGAAUGCCAAGCUCUUAUCUGGAGAUUUUCAUCUGUAGAUCUCAAAGUGCUUUACACCGGAGUGGAUCUCUGAGGGGCAAACGGCAUGGCCUGGGUGCGCAAAGUAAGCUGGUGGCUGGGAGACUGGUUUCACGUCUUCAGAAGUGACAAACAGGAGGGGAACAGUCCAAAUGUCUGGUAAGUAAAAC